rfam:Myotis brandtii contig193754, whole genome shotgun sequence.
CCCCUUGGACUUGCCCUCUAGGUUCGGUGCUAGCCGCUCCUGUGAGCUCGCUCUGCCCCUCCUCCUCCCUUUGCCUCUCUCGAGCUUUCCCUUCACUUAAAACCUUGCUUCUGGU